rnacentral:misc_RNA from 1 species
AUAAAACAUGCUUGAUACAUUUCCUGCGCUUUUUACAGCCAAAUUAGCUUUCUUAGCACCUCCAGGAUGCUGAUGUAGCCUUUAUAAUGCUUAUUGGAGGUGGUUUCAGAUGAUCUGUGACCAUCUGCGUCCAGGAGUGAAAAAAGGGCUGCCAUUCAUUUGGCAAGGUAAGGCAAGUAACCCAUUUAUCAAUUUAAAGAAGGAAUAUAAGG